AGAGUUUGAUCCUGGCUCAGAUUGAACGCUGGCGGCAUGCCUUACACAUGCAAGUCGAACGGUAACAGGUCUUCGGAUGCUGACGAGUGGGGAAGGGGUGAAUAAUACAUCAGAACGUGCCCGAUCGUGGGGGAUAGCGCAACGAAUGCUGUGCUAAUACCGCAUACCAUCUACGGAUGAAAGCGGGGGAUCGCAAGACCUCGCGCGGACGGAGCGGCCGAUGGCAGAUUAUGUAGUUGGUGGGAUAAAAGCUUACCAGCCCGACGAUCUGUAGCUGGUCUGAGAGGACGACCAGCCACUCUGGGACUGAGACACGGCCCACACUCCUACAGGAGGCAGCGGUGGGGAAUUUUGGACUAUGGGCGCAAGCCUGAUCCACCCAUGCCGCGUGCAGGAUGAAGGCCUUCGGGUUGCAAACUGCUUUUGUACGGAACGAAAAAGCUCUCUCUAAUAGAGGGGGUGAAUGACGGUACCGUAAUAAUAAACACCGGCUAACUACGUGCCAUCAGCCGCGGUAAUACGUAGGGUGCAAGCGUUAAUCGGAUUUACUGAGCGUAUGGCGUGCGCGCGCGGUUAUGUAAGACAGAGGUAAAAUCCCCAGGCCCCACGCUGUCAACUGCCUUUGUGACUGCAUAGCUGGAGUGCGGCAGAGGGGGAUAGAAUUCCGCGUGUACCAGUGAAAUGCGUAUAUAUGCAGAGGAACACCAGAUAGCGAAGGCCAUCCCCGUGGGCCUGCACUGACGCUCAUGCACUAAUGCGUGAGGAGCAAACAAGAUUACAUGCCCUAGUACUCCACGUCCCUCAACGAUGUCAACUUGGGUUGGGUGGGGUCUGUCGCUGACUCAGUACCUAGCUAACGCGUGUAAGGUCGACCGGCUGGAGGAGCUACGGGCAGCUAGUUCAACUCUAGGAUCGACAGUACGCACGGGUGAAAGGGUUCAUGUCGCGAUUUG
rnacentral:rRNA from 1 species